AUUGAACGCUGGCGGCAGGCUUAACACAUGCAAGUCGAGCGGAGAUGAGGUGCUUGCACCUUAUCUUAGCGGCGGACGGGUGAGUAAUGCUUAGGAAUCUGCCUAUUAGUGGGGGACAACAUUCCGAAAGGAAUGCUAAUACCGCAUACGCCCUACGGGGGAAAGCAGGGGAGCUUCGGACCUUGCGCUAAUAGAUGAGCCUAAGUCGGAUUAGCUAGUUGGUGGGGUAAAGGCCUACCAAGGCGACGAUCUGGAGCGGGUCUGAGAGGAUGAUACUCCACACUGGGACUGAGACACUGCCCAGACUCCUACGGGAGGCAGCAGUGGGGAAUAUUGGACAAUGGGCGGAAGCCUGAUCCAGCCAUGCCGCGUGUGUGAAGAAGGCCUUUUGGUCGUAAAGCACUUUAAGCGAGGAGGAGGCUACCUAGAUUAAUACUCUAGGAUAGUGGACGUUACUCGCAGAAUAAGCACCGGCUAACUCUGUGCCAGCAGCCGCCGUAAGAC
rnacentral:rRNA from 1 species